UAAACGAGGGCUUAACUGUCUCCCAUUUCCAGUCAGUGAAAUUGAUCUACCCGUGCAGAAGCGGGUAUAAAUAUACUAGACGAGAAGACCCUUUGGAGCUUAAGGUACAAAACUCAACCACGUCAAUCAACUCAAUAAAAAGCAACUUUUUACUAAACCUUAUGACAAAUGAGACUAUACCUUCGGUUGGGGCGACCAAGGAGGAAAAGAAAGCCUCCAAGUGGACUGGGUCAACACCCUAAAACUAAGAGAGACAUCUCUAAGCCACAGAACAUCUGACCAUAAAUGAUCCGGUCAAUUAAGACCGAUCAACGAACCAAGUUACCCUAGGGAUAACAGCGCAAUCCCCUCCCAGAGUCCAUAUCGACGAGGGGGUUUACGACCUCGAUGUUGGAUCAGGACAUCCUAAUGGUGCAGCCGCUAUUAAGGGUUCGUUUGUUCAACGAUUAAAGUCCUACGUGAUCU
rnacentral:rRNA from 1 species